rnacentral:piRNA from 1 species
UGAUCAGAGACGUUAAAAGUGAUAGGCCUCC